UACGUAGGGGGCAAGCGUUAUCCGGAUUUACUGGGUGUAAAGGGGGCGCAGACGGCGAUGCAAGCCAGGAGUGAAAGCCCGGGGCCCAACCCCGGGACUGCUCUUGGAACUGCGUGGCUGGAGUGCAGGAGGGGCAGGCGGAAUUCCUGGUGUAGCGGUGAAAUGCGUAGAUAUUAGGAGGAACACCAGUGGCGAAGGCGGCCUGCUGGACGGUGACUGACGCUGAGGCUCGAAAGCGUGGGGAGCAAACAGG
rnacentral:rRNA from 1 species